AGAGACCGUCUCUGCAUUUAAUAACAAAUUUAUACUGUUCAGUGGUUUGAUGCAACCUCUGUUGUUAAAAGCGCUAUAUUAAUAAAGAUGCUUGAUUGAUUGAUAAUACUUUUAAUACUUGUCUUUUUCUCUACAUUGGAGUGGCUAAAACAAAUUGAAAGUGAAAUACUCAUUUUUCACAUCGUCAUAUAAUAAGACGGAUAUACUUUUAUUAACCUUGUUUAACUUUUGCUUUAAUUACUGAAAUAUGAAUUACUAAAUGCGUUUGUAAUUAAGCCUUGGCACACUUUUAUUUAUUUAUUUUUUUAAAAGUCUCCAUGGGCUCUCUCUUCCAUAUGAAUAUAACGAUAACGCCGUGUGACUAUUGGCUGCGCAGCUGAAGUUCGUGGUGCUGAUUGGCUGCUUAAUACAGCAAUAUCGCGAUGCUAACGGCAGAAACUUCCUGAGAUUGGUCAUUGAGCUUUAUCUCCCGAGCAAUUCUUGAGCAGUACGAGCACUACAAAGUCUCCACCGCACAAUAUCCAACCAUCUAUUCAAAGAACAACCUACAUUCUUCUCUGCAGUUGAACGCCUGGUUUGGGAUUUUCUCAGAGCAGCAGUUCUUCUUGCUGUGUUUAAACAGCCUGAUCUUGACAACAGUCCUAGAGGAGAGUGAUGUUUUGUACAUCGGCAUUCAAAUGCAGCUUACUGCUGAAGGAAGAAUCCAACACAAUCGUCCAAGCAUGGAUGAAGUGCCUGCGAGCGUCACAACUUCUAACCACACCUACAGCGUCCAAAAGUCAGAAGUGUUGACGGGAUAUCUGAGAGGGACGGGAGCUCCAGAAAUGGAAGGAUGGUGGAUUCCUCUCAAUGAAAGACUUCAGCGUCUGUCAACAGAUGUCAGCCAUGCACUGCUUAGUGUUGCUCCAGAGUGCUUUGCUGUGUUCAGAGAUGGAUAUUUUGAUUCACAUUCCAGAACUGUUGAACGUUUCUCACAUGUAACAGAGGAUGGAACUGCAGUCAUGUUGAUUUUCACUGACCUGAAUGACAUGGCCAGCGGAUUACUUCAGCUUUUUCAGAAUCGUGGUGCUCACAGUACCUACGAAUUCAUGCCCGUUUCAUUUGAAAUAGAGCAACGGUCAGCGAUAACAAUGCCAUCUGCAGCUUGCCAGUCACUCUCACAAGUAACUUCAUCUCUGCCUGAACCACAAGGAAAUGUUGGUGACCAAAAAAAGGGGCGUCUUAAAUAUGUCAUCAAAACAAGCAAGCAGAGAAGAAAUGCGUAAAAUUGCUGAACAGGUUGCAGGACCUAAGGAUACUCUGUUUUGAAGAGAAUGAGGAAAAAGAGGUAUGCCACCAGUUGUCUGUUUCAAAUGAAGAAAGAAGAAGUCGUUGUCGCCGCCAAGAAGUGUAAUCGAGAUCUUUGUCAGAAACAAAAAGAAGAAGCAGUACUUGGUUAGGAGGUACCACACUGACGCUGUUUUCCAGAAGAACAUGAAGGAUUAUACGGUCAGGAGGUGCGAGACGGAUGACCUUUUCCAGAAGAUGAUAAAGCACUAUCUCACUGAUGCUGGGUUCCACAUAAUACACAAGUUGAGAUGUGCAUUAAGGAUCAAACGAAAACACAGGCCAUACAUUUGUUUCAGCCAAGAUACACCCAAUUCCGAUGCAACAAACCAGCCUGUGUCAUAUAGCUUGAUGCAAAAGGCCAUAUCUGCAUUUCGGUGUCAAAUUCUGCUUGGUCCAUCUAACAUUUGCACUGUCUGUCGCAGGGCUCUUUUUCCCCAAGUCGAGUCAAGAUGUGCAAAAGAACACGAUGUGUCAAAAAUGUUCAUGUUACAGCCUCUUGCUUAACAUUCAUCAAGGACAUCUUGAUAAAUGACGCUGCCACAUUUGAAUUUCUCCGUGAUGAUCAGAGGAGGAGGAGAAACAGAAAGUCGAUGUCUCUGAACAAGGUGACCAGAGUGUUAGCACAGAAGGGGAGGAAAAAAAAAAAAAAAAAAAAAAAAGGAUGAACUCAGGCCUGGGCUCACUCUGGACAUGUGCAUGCAGCCACUUGACAUUGGACAGGACUUAAUAUCGUACGGCGAGGGAAUCUUCAGCAUCGCACCUGCUCAAGGGAAAAAGCCAGUUGGAUUCCAAAAGGUUCCAAAUCCGGAAGCCAUGGCUUUCCCUGUACGGUUUUCCAAUGGACGAGGCACGAAAAGUUGCGUUAUCACAGAGCAUGUACAUUAAAUGCAAGCUUGUUCUGCGUGGAUACUCGUUUUGCCAAAGACCACAGUUCUCGCUUCCUUGCAGUUUGUCACCGAGGCAAACCUGUUACAAAAGAUGGACGGAGAAUCUCCAACAAGCUUCUUCAGGAUGAUCUUGAGAUCGAAAGACUGGUCCACAGCCGUGACGCCACUAGGUUUAUGCAACCCUUGAGAGGCACUCCAUCUUAUUGGGAGAAAACGUUGAGAGAUCUACAGGCCAUGAUCAAGACAGUUGGGGACACCUACCAAAUUGCAAUGGCCAGAAGUCAUAACGGCAAUCAAGGCUCAGCAAGGUGAAGAGGUUGACUGGACUUUACAAAAUGUGAAAUCCUUCAAAAGUAACCCCGUCACCGUCGUGUGGAUGUUUGAGAAACGAGUUGAUGCGUUAAGUCGAGGAGAGUCGAGGAUUUUUUUUUUAUAAAAUAGAGUCUAGUUUCAAGCCAGAGGAAGCCCACACAUUCAUCUGCUGGCCUGGGUAAAGGGAGCACAGGAAUUCGAAAAUCAGUCUGACCAAAAAGUGUGUGACUUCAUUGAUCGUUACUUAACCUGCCAGUUGCCGGACUCGACCACCGAUCCCGAGCUUCAUAAACUUCAUAGCAGGAAUCACUCCAAAUCUUGCAAAAAAAGGAAAUGUGUUGUGCAGAUACCGGUUUCCUAAACUACCCGUGUCAGGCUCCACAAUCACCAGUCCAAGAUCAAAAUGAAGAACAACAAGAAGAACAAAACGAGGAAGACCAAAAGAAGGCAAGACGAGAUGCGGUUCGAUAAACAAUCAGAGAAGCCAGGACAAAACUCACGGCAUUGUGGGAUUUGUUAAAAUGAUCCUCAGGCCUCGUGUAAUCUUUCCGAGGAAGAUUACCAUAAAAACGCCAAGGCACUAUCCACUUCAAACGUGAUUUUGCUGAAGCGUGAUCCAAAAGGAGGCUUGGGUAAAUGGAUACAACCCAGAUUUGCUGAGGGCAUGGAAUGCCAACAUGGACAUUCAGUUUGUUCUCGACUCUUUCAGCUGCAUCACGUAUAUGCUUUCCUACAUUUCCAAGGCAGAACACGAAAUGAGUGAUUUCUUGAAGACCGUCAUCAAGAGUGUUCGACAACAAAGAGCCUAAUUCAGAGGAUGUCUGGAUGUCAGGUAUGAUAGAUAUAUACCGAGCAAAGCCUCAAACACUGGAGUUUGAAAUGAUGUGCCUUGCAGACUGGUCAGCAAACUAAAAGGAAAGAAUGUCCACCCACUCCUCAACGAUAUGGGAUUCGUUCAGAAGAGAACUGUUGGUAAGGCUGCAAUUGCAAGUUAUGCUCGCUUUUUUCGAAGGAGAAGCGACAAGAAAGUUAUCCAACGUAUCUGGAGUUUUACAAAAGUGCAUAUGUGGAACUCCCGGCACAUCCUGGUCUCCUGAUGCCU